CCGGCGUGGUCUGCGGCCCUGGGCUGUGCUCCGGCGCUCCCCUCGUCCAGAGGCAUUCUCCUGAGCUACCAGAAGGGGGUGCAUCCAGAACAGCCUCUCUCCGCCCCCCCGCCCCCAGCGGCUAAGCUGGUGGAGCUUCUCUAAGGCAAAGAUAACUCCUGGGUGUGUGUGGGAGCACCACCUGCCCGGGGUGUUGCACUCACACCGAGGAGUCCCUGGUUUUAGUGG